AGUCGAGCGAACAGAUGAGAAGCUUGCUUCUCUGAUGUUAGCGGCGGACGGGUGAGUAACACGUGGGUAACCUACCUAUAAGACUGGGAUAACUCCGGGAAACCGGGGCUAAUACCGGAUAAUAUUUUGAACCGCAUGGUUCAAUAGUGAAAGACGGUUUCGGCUGUCACUUAUAGAUGGACCCGCGCCGUAUUAGCUAGUUGGUAAGGUAAUGGCUUACCAAGGCGACGAUACGUAGCCGACCUGAGAGGGUGAUCGGCCACACUGGAACUGAGACACGGUCCAGACUCCUACGGGAGGCAGCAGUAGGGAAUCUUCCGCAAUGGGCGAAAGCCUGACGGAGCAACGCCGCGUGAGUGAUGAAGGUCUUCGGAUCGUAAAACUCUGUUGUUAGGGAAGAACAAAUUUGUUAGUAACUGAACAAGUCUUGACGGUACCUAACCAGAAAGCCACGGCUAACUACGUGCCAGCAGCCGCGGUAAUACGUAGGUGGCAAGCGUUAUCCGGAAUUAUUGGGCGUAAAGCGCGCGUAGGCGGUUUCUUAAGUCUGAUGUGAAAGCCCACGGCUCAACCGUGGAGGGUCAUUGGAAACUGGGAAACUUGAGUGCAGAAGAGGAGAGUGGAAUUCCAUGUGUAGCGGUGAAAUGCGCAGAGAUAUGGAGGAACACCAGUGGCGAAGGCGGCUCUCUGGUCUGUAACUGACGCUGAUGUGCGAAAGCGUGGGGAUCAAACAGGAUUAGAUACCCUGGUAGUCCACGCCGUAAACGAUGAGUGCUAAGUGUUAGGGGGUUUCCGCCCCUUAGUGCUGCAGCUAACGCAUUAAGCACUCCGCCUGGGGAGUACGACCGCAAGGUUGAAACUCAAAGGAAUUGACGGGGACCCGCACAAGCGGUGGAGCAUGUGGUUUAAUUCGAAGCAACGCGAAGAACCUUACCAAAUCUUGACAUCCUUUGACCGCUCUAGAGAUAGAGUCUUCCCCUUCGGGGGACAAAGUGACAGGUGGUGCAUGGUUGUCGUCAGCUCGUGUCGUGAGAUGUUGGGUUAAGUCCCGCAACGAGCGCAACCCUUAAGCUUAGUUGCCAUCAUUAAGUUGGGCACUCUAGGUUGACUGCCGGUGACAAACCGGAGGAAGGUGGGGAUGACGUCAAAUCAUCAUGCCCCUUAUGAUUUGGGCUACACACGUGCUACAAUGGAUAAUACAAAGGGCAGCGAAUCCGCGAGGCCAAGCAAAUCCCAUAAAAUUAUUCUCAGUUCGGAUUGUAGUCUGCAACUCGACUACAUGAAGCUGGAAUCGCUAGUAAUCGUAGAUCAGCAUGCUACGGUGAAUACGUUCCCGGGUCUUGUACACACCGCCCGUCACACCACGAGAGUUUGUAACACCCGAAGCCGGUGGAGUAACCUUUUAGGAGCUAGCCC
rnacentral:rRNA from 1 species